GUCAAGUGAAUAAGAGCACGUGGUGGAUGCCUUGGCAAUGAUAGGCGACGAAGGACGUGAUAGCCUGCGAUAAGCUUCGGGGAGCUGGCAAAUUAGCUUUGAUCCGGAGAUUUCCGAAUGGGGAAACCCGG
rnacentral:rRNA from 1 species